rnacentral:tRNA from 2 species
GGCACCGUAGCCAAGCGGUAAGGCCAAGGUCUGCAAAACCUUUAUGCUCCAGUUCGAAUCUGGACGGUGCCUCCA